rnacentral:rRNA from 1 species
AGCUCCAAUAGCGUAUAUUAAAGUUGUUGCGGUUAAAAAGCUCGUAGUUGGAUUUCUGCUGAGGACGACCGGUCCGCCCUCUGGGUGAGUAUCUGGCUUGGCCUUGGCAUCUUCUUGGGGAACGUAGCUGCACUUGACUGUGUGGUGCGGUAUCCAGGACUUCUACUUUGAGGAAAUUAGAGUGUUUCAAGCAGGCACACGCCUUGAAUACAUUAGCAUGGAAUAAUAAGAUAGGACCUUGGUUCUAUUUUGUUGGUUUCUAGAGCUGAGGUAAUGAUUAAUAGGGAUAGUUGGGGGCAUUCGUAUUUAACUGUCAGAGGUGAAAUUCUUGGAUCUGUUAAAGACGGACUACUGCGAAAGCAUUUGCCAAGGAUGUUUUCAUUG